rnacentral:rRNA from 1 species
UACGUAGGGUGCAAGCGUUGUCCGGAAUUAUUGGGCGUAAAGAGCUCGUAGGCGGUUUGUCGCGUCGGCUGUGAAAACCUGGGGCUCAACCCCGGGCCUGCAGCCGAUACGGGCAAACUAGAAUUCGGUAGGGGAGACUGGAAUUCCUGGUGUAGCGGUGAAAUGCGCAGAUAUCAGGAGGAACACCAAUUGCGAAGGCAGCUCGCUGGAACGUAACUGACGCUGAGACGCGAAAGCGUGGGGAGCAAACAGG